UAGUUGAAGAGGACUGGAUGAAAGGACUGAGGUGUGGAUAGGGUUAAGGGAAACCGACGAGGGAUGGUGAGGCAUCCAGGGAGUAGCAAUAGUGGGAGUCUUUACCACCCCCAGGCCUGAAGGGACAGGGGGUGGAGGUGUUACCAGAGCCCAAUAAUAGCUUAUAUUAGUCUGCUUAGGGUUGAUAUAACAAAGGACCACAAACUGGGUGGCUUAGUCCACAGAAAAUUUAUUGUCUCACAGUUCUGGAGGCUAGAAAUCCAGGUAUCAGGAGGGAUGGUUCCUUCUGGGGACUGUGAGGGAAGGAUCUGUCCUCUUUCCUUGGAUUGUAGAUGACUGUAUCUCUGUAUCUCUUUAUAUUUUCUUCUAUGUGUGUCUCAAUCUGUGUCCAAAUUUCCCCUUUUCGUAAGAACAUCAGUCGUACUGGACUAGGACUCAUCCUAAUGAUCUCCUUUAACUUGAUGACCUCUGUAAAGACCCUAUCUCCAAAUAAGAUCAUUUUCUGAGGUACUGAGGGUUAAGACUCCAAUAUAUCUUUUUUUUGGGGGGGGGGCACAAUUCAACCCAUAUCAGAAUUGUAGUGAUAAGAAAGAAGUGCCUGACAGCAGCUGUGUCCCUUGAUAAAAGGACAAAGCCAUUGCCCAGCAGGGAUUUAAAUACCCAACUUCUUUGCUUCUCAUCCUCUCAGGCUGGUGCCUCCCAUUGACUGCACCCACUUCAAGUUAGAAGGCAAGGGUGCCUGGGUGAUGCAGUCCACGCCAGCCAGCUGCCCAGGACACAGAGAGGGUGGAGACGGGUGGAGGGUUAAGCUGGAGGGAAAAUAGAAUAUCCAGCACAGCCUGUCUGAGCAGUCUAUAGGAUACACCCAAGGUGGCUAGCACUUUUUAAGCCAGUAAGUCAGUCUUUGGGGCUCCCUGGUCCCUGGAGAGGCUUGAGAACAGAAGCUGCUUGGAGAUAGCCCCCUUUCCGACUUUGUUUGUUUUUUGUUUUUUUCUAUAAAAGUUUAAGCUUCACAAGGGAAUUGUGUUGGAGUGAAGGGUUGGAGAGACUAGGGGGAGGAGAUGAAAGAAUAAAAGGCUUGGCUUGGUGAGAUGGGAAACUAUGUAAGUUCUCUGAGGUCUUAGUGUCUCUGUCAUUUUGGAUGUUCUGCCCACCGCAGGAAAGUUAGAGGAAACAGGAGAUUCUCUGGCAAUGAGGAGGUUACAGAGAUCGGUGGUUCCAGAGGCAGCUAGAGCCCUUGCUCUGCUCCCUGGAAGUGCUCCAGGGAGACAGCAAGGUGUUGCAAACUGACCUAAGAUGAUCACGUCCAACUCGGCCUUCUUUUUUUUGUUGGUUACAAUAGCUGCCAGAGAAGUCCAAAGUGAUGAGGGGUUGCCUGCUUCACAUCCUUACUCCCAGAAUAUAUAAAGAAAAAGUUGCAGUCUAAAAUCUGCCACAACCACACACACACACACACACACACACACACACACACACACACACACCAUUUAUUAAACACUCAUUAGCAGGCAGGCACAUUAGCUUCUUUGAGAUCUCUCUGUCCUUUUGGAUGCUCUGGCCACGGCAUGAAUCAAAGCUUUACUCAGGGUGGGGCAACGGUGUCACAGAGGGAGGACUCUGUCUCCCACAUAGGAGGCAUCAGAGAACCAGAGAGGGAGUCUGCUUUCAACUUCGUUAUGCUGUUCCAAUCCUGAUCAACCCCAGAGGUGACAUCAGAAGCAGGUUUCCUCUCACGAGGUACCAGAAGCCCCCAGGAGGCUGCCGGCCAGGCAAAGAUGCUCUGCUAUACUAAAUACGUUCCAGGGGCCAUGCAGGCUUGGACAAUAAAAAUAACGGACUGAAGAUCGGAAGUACUUUCCGCCACGCUCACCCUUCGUGACGAAUUUAUUGAGCGCCCGCCCGCAGGCCAGGGCCGUGAGAAGCAGAGAAGGAAAACACCAACUCCUUGCCCUAUAGGACUUAAUAGCUAACUCAUAAAAUAAUUACUGUUUACUAGACACUGUUGUCGCUCAGCUGUCAAACAACACUACCAAAUGGGUGCUAUUAUCAGCAUCUCUGGCGGAUGAAGAAACUGAGGCAUAACCAAGGCCGCCCAGAGCGCCCAGGUGGCUCAGCCUUUAAGCAUCUGACUUCUGCUCAGGUCACGAACUCACAGUUUGUGAGUUCACACUGAGUGAGUUUGAGCCCCGCAUCAGGUAGAAUACAAGGCCCACUUCAGGUGAGGCCCAGCUUUCCCCCCCCACCCCCCUCUCUCUCUCUCCCUUUCUCUCUCUCUGUCCCUCACUCACUUGCGCCCUCUAAAUAAAUAAAUAAAUAGAUAGAUAGAUAAAUAACCAAGGCCACCCAAAGUAGUAAGAGGCAGGGUUUUGAAUCUGGGCUGUCAGUUUCCUGAAUCCACACUGUUGGCCACAAACCAUAUCGCCCAUCUAGUUUAGUGAGGGAUGGACAGGUAAAUAAAUAAUUCACACAGAGCACAAUGGUCGAAGCGCGAAGUGCCAUGGCAGCACAAGAAGGAGACCCUGACAGCUCAGGAUCUGAGGAGGGAUGGGGAGAGAGGUAUCUCCUGAAUGAGAUGACACCUGGACAGCGCUGGAAAGCAUGAAUCGGCGCCAGCUGGGAACAGAAGAGAAGGGAGAGAACUCUGGCCACAUAAGCAGGGUAUUGGGGAGUGGGGGCGGGGCCUAAACACCGUAGCGUCACUAGAGAAUAAAAUGCCAGGGGGGAGGUGGGACACAGUUUGCUCGAGAAAGGUUUGCUGGGCCUCUUAUAUGUGCAGGACUGUGCUUAUUGCCGGGGGUAUAGCAGGGACAGGGUGUCCAAGGAGCCUGAACUUGAGCUUUCGAACAUUUUGCUCCCCUAACUUACUAAAAUAACUCUUUAAAACUACCCCCAUGCAAAACAUUCAACACACUGGAAAAGGAAGGGAACUUCCUCAAUCUGAUAAAGGGCAUCUCUGAAAACCCCCACAGCUAACAUCGUAUUUAAUGGUGAGAGACUGAAUGCCUUUCCUCUAAGGUCAGGAAUAAGACAGGGAUGUCCGCUCUUAACCACUUCUCUUCAGUAUUGAACUGGAGGUUCCAGCUAGAGUCACUAGGCAAGAAGAUUAAAUAAAAGCAAACAAACUGGAAAGGAAAUUGACACUUUACGAUAAGAGUGUUACAGGGGCACCUGGGUGGCUCAGUCGGUUGGGCGUCUGACUCUUGAUUUUGGCUCAGGUCAAGAUCUCAUGGUAGUGGGAUCGAACCCCGACCUCAUCAGGCUCCGCGCUGAGUGUGGAGCUUGCUGGGGAUUCUCUCCCUCUCACCGCCCCCUCUCACCGCGCGUGCUUUCUCAAAAUAAAUAAACAUUUUUAAAAAUAAAAGUGUUACAUCAGCUUUGAAUGCCAUCCAGCGGAGUUUAAAUACUACAGCAGUUUGAUGCCCACCAUCAUCCAUUUAUAUGUAAAUAAAGUAAAACGACUUUGUUAACUA